UUCCAGGGGGGAGACUGGACUGGGAGGGGGAGGGGAGCCCAAGAGUUCGCUACAGGGAAACAAACCUCCAGAGUAAACAGAAGGCCUGGGGAGGGUCAGGAGGGAAGGGCGGGAACAGUUUAUUUUGAAGUAUACCUUGGUUACAGAGUUCCAGCAGAGACCUUCACACCGCCACAAUUUCCCACCAUCCAAUCAGAGAAGAGCAAGGCAAACGUACACCAAAUUAGGAAAGUAAACACUGUGGAGAGGAAGAAGAGGAGGAGGAACGGACCCCGAGGGAACGAGAAAAUCAAGGCCGAGUCGGCCGGGCCAGGAGACGGAAGGAAACAAAGGCACUGCCAGGCCCGGCAACUGGGCUGCUAGGGGCCUGGUCCUCUCGGUCCUCCCCGGGGUGGGAGGAGAGGCUGUGUGGAGUUUUGAUGCCUGUGGCUCCUUAGGGGUCACGGUUGCCCUUUAAGGGCAGGAAAGCUCGGAUGACUUGCAUCUGUAAUUCUCUCCUCCCCUGAAGGCCUGGGUAGGGUGCUCUGGGUUGGGGGGUGGGGGGAAUCCGAAGGAGACGUGGGAGGAGCGGGAAGGGCCAGAGAGGGAGGCGGGGAGGGAAUGUUGGUAAACAUGGCGACCCCACCCCGACAACAGACACGCUGUAUGAAUCGUGAUUUGCAGCCAAACCUCAAGAGGCAGUGGAAGUUUCUAACAGUCGAUUAAAUUCUGCUGUGCUAAGACAAACGGAUGUAAACUGAAAUCUUUCCUAUAAUGCUGCAUCAAGGCCUGAAGUGAAAAGGCUAGUUUGGGUUUCCCACUCACCAAACCGGUUCAACACGGUGGGAAGUUUUAGGCAAAAAGAACUGAAUGGAAACUAGAUUCAUCUAGUAGGUUAAAUAUCGACCUGACCAAGUCAACCCCUCUCCAGUUUAUAAUCCUAGACUACUGAAAGUGUGUUUAAUUCUGCUUAAGAGAACUUAAAAAAUGCUCCUUUAAAAAGCACCAACAUCAUAAACAGUUUUCUACGAACAUCAUGACUAUCUGAAAUAGCACUGAAAUAUACUUUUGUAAAUUCCAAAGCAAAUCGAUUUAAACAAAAACAUCACCAGUAAAUGCCUAUAAACAAA